rnacentral:lncRNA from 1 species
CUAGAAUGAGAUUUUAGAGCUUAUUUUGGGCAUUUUGAAUUUAGGGCUUUUGGAGCUAAAUUAAUUGGAUUAGAAUCUUCCUUUGGGUUGGAUUGGAAGGAUUCUAACUUUCUUUAGGAGCUUGAGGGAGAUUUUUCACACAUUAGGUGAGUUUUAGCCCUUUUGCCUUAUUGGUUAAUGUUUGAUCUUAUAGUUGAUCGUAAUGCCCGUAUAUCAUUGCCCACUGAAAACUAUAAAUUAUAGUUCUCACGCUCUCUGUUUUAUAUUUUC